rnacentral:rRNA from 1 species
AUGGAGGGAAUGUUACUUACCAUUGGGGUCGUUCAUCCAGUUCUUCUCGGGCUGGAAGUGGAAGCCGGUGCGCUGCCACUGGAGCAUGGCAUUGCUCCACGGGAACGCGUUGCCGCCGGCGUCCGCGCGCAGCAUGCCGCCGCGCGCGCCGGCGCCGGACGUCUUCUCCGAGACUCCAGACUCAGGCCCCCGGCUGCUGGCGCUCAUCGGCGCCGUGUCGACCGUCGUCUGGUGGCCAGACAUGACGACGAUGCCACCCGCGGGCAGCUGGCCGGCGAUCUGACGCCGGCGAGCGCGGCUACCACUAGGAGCACGGCUGCCGUCGCCAGCAGCAGGGCGGCACAGAGCGGGCCAGCAGUCCGGCGCGCACGCCCCACCGUGGCGGCGGCCUCGGCAUCCUCCGGCAGCGGCGCGUAG